UACGGGAGGCAGCAGUGGGGAAUAUUGCACAAUGGGCGGAAGCCUGAUGCAGCAACGCCGCGUGCGGGAUGACGGCCUUCGGGUUGUAAACCGCUUUCGCCUGUGACGAAGCGUGAGUGACGGUAAUGGGUAAAGAAGCACCGGCUAACUACGUGCCAGCAGCCGCGGUGAUACGUAGGGUGCGAGCGUUGUCCGGAUUUAUUGGGCGUAAAGGGCUCGUAGGUGGUUGAUCGCGUCGGAAGUGUAAUCUUGGGGCUUAACCCUGAGCGUGCUUUCGAUACGGGUUGACUUGAGGAAGGUAGGGGAGAAUGGAAUUCCUGGUGGAGCGGUGGAAUGCGCAGAUAUCAGGAGGAACACCAGUGGCGAAGGCGGUUCUCUGGGCCUUUCCUGACGCUGAG
rnacentral:rRNA from 1 species